GAGGGUACAGCUCAGUGGUAGAGUGCAUGCUUAGCAUGCACAAGGUCCUGGGUUCAACCCCAGGACCCGCA
rnacentral:tRNA from 1 species